ensembl:lncRNA
CUCAGGGUGGCCACAGUGCGGGGCCAAGCUCGCUUUUCUGUGGCUUCUGUUUCUCCAGACUCUCAGCUUCUCCGGUGCUACUGCCUUGGUGCGGGGACUCUGGCCUGAUUCCCAGCGAGUGCGCUCAGCUCCUGCCUUCUCCACCUAGGACGCAGCAGAUGCUCUGGUGGAAAAGCCAGGAGGACGGUGAUGCUCAGCUGUGAUUCCUACUUCUCCGAGCACCUGGCCCAGUCCUGCUUGAGUGCGGUCCACAGCUAGUUUCGCAUCUCGUCCAGGUUUCAUGCUCGUCCUCGGCAGCAUGGUCUGAUUGACACCGGCUCCUUCACUGCAGCCAGAGAGGAAAGUCCUAGAGCCGCAGCUCUGAGCUGCAAGCUUUACUGCUCAUCUCUGGUCUCAUUUAACUACUUGGACAAUGAAAUAGACAUUACCUGGGUUGUAGCACUGAAUCAAAAUGAGGAAAACCGGAUUUCUUUCCAGAAUCCAUAGGAAAGCGCUCUGUGACCGUGGGUUUCCUGGUCCACUGUCCUGUCUGACCUGUGUUUGUCUAUUUAAUUUCUAGGGCUACUGAGAUUAUUUAAAUGAAAUAGAGAGACAUUUUUUGGAAAAGGGAGAUUUUUCCUGUUAUUCUUCCUCAUUCUAAGUUAGUUCCCUGUGGGAAGUGAGAAGUGAAUUCCUACUUAAACUCUUGCUACAACAGCCAACAGCAACCCUUCCUGCCCCGUGUUAUGCCCACCUUUGCCUUCUGCUCCCCCCACACACCCUGUCCAGGAAAUUGGAGGAGGAGGGCAAACGGCGACUCCGUGUGAAGCUGCCACUGGAGCCCAAUCUGUUUCUGUCCUGCAGCAUCUUUGUGGGCUUUGCGCAGUGUUUGGAGUUGAUUUCAAGAUGUUUUCAAGAGAAACGCCUUUUGUUCCCAGAGGUGACGCUGACCUCGAUCGUGCGUGUUCACUCCACCAGCCGGAGGGAGAGGAGAAGGUCUGAGCUGGCUGAGCACACACAGCUGAGCCACCGGAGUGUACGGUCCUGGCCAUCUCAGGAAGCCAAGGCUGAGCCAACCGUUCUCUAGGAGACUCUCAGAGGACCCAGGCUUUUUAUUCUGAAAUUGCAGAGGGGAGGAAGGAAGAGCAGCAAGCAGCAUCCACAGAUGCCUGGCACGGCCGCCGGGAGCAGAGAUCCCGAGGGGGUGACGGUCGCCAGGAGGCCCUGAGGGUGGCGGGCACAGGUGCCCUUCAGGGGUGUGUGGGGGGACAGAAGGCAG